rnacentral:tRNA from 1 species
UGGAGAGGUGGCCGAGUGGUUGAAGGCGCACGCCUGGAAAGUGUGUAUACGGCAACGUAUCGAGGGUUCGAAUCCCUCUCUCUCCGA